AUUGAACGCUGGCGGCAGGCCUAACACAUGCAAGUCGAGCGAGCGGCGGACGGGUGAGUAAUGUCUGGGAAACUGCCUGAUGGAGGGGGAUAACUACUGGAACCGGUAGCUACUACCCCAUACCAUCAGAUGUGCCCAGAUGGGAUUCGCUAGUAGGUGGGGUAAUGGCUCACCUAGGCGACGAUCCCUAGCGGGUCUGAGAGGAUGACCAGCCACACUGGAACUGUGACACGGUCCAGACGCCUACGGGAGGCAGCAGUGGGGAAUAGUGCACAAUGGGCGCAAGCCUGAUGCAGCCAUGCCGCGUGUGUGAAGAAGGCCUUCGGGUUGUAAAGCACUUUCAGCGAGGAGGCGUUACUCGCAGAAGAAGCACCGGCUAACUCCGUGCCAGCAGCCGCGGUAAUUC
rnacentral:rRNA from 1 species